AUUAAAAACAGGAGCCCCCAGUGCUCACCUGCACCAGCCUUCUUCAGAGCUCUCACUAGCACAGCCUCACUUUGACUGCAUUCCGUGCAUCUCUGCUCUGUGACGGAUCUCCCUGCACAGCGCUGGUGAAAAUGAGAAGCCCUGACUUGCUCCCCUGUGUACACCUAGUCCCUGUCCUGGCACCAGGCAUUCUGGUUAGUGCCCACCAGUUUGUCGAGUGAGCCUUCCAUCAGUGGCUGCACGCUACUUGCACCAUACUGCCUGCCCUAGAGCAGAAGGUCUUGGACUGUAGCACUAUCCUAUUUAUGCCUUACGUUUGACAUGAAUCCUCUUCGUUCUACAAGGUGAUUCAUAGGAAAUUCCAAUGUCAUGCCUAUUUCUACUUUAUGCUAGUUAAUGCUACUCUGCUUGGAACAUCCUUCAGUUCAACAAUAAACACUCCAACACUGCUACUUCCUGGGGAUAAAGAUGAAUGAUCCAAGCCCAGAGAUAACAGGGACGGACUAGCAAAGGAGAAAGUGGAAGACUGUAAUAGAAAAGCACAGGGUGUUACAGAGACUAAACAAAAACGCUGGUUGAGAUAGUUCCCAGAGUUCUACAGCAGAUGACACUGCAAAGUUUAAAUGCCACCCAGGAAGGAAGUGGUACAUGUGCAGAGACAGAAACAAGGGCGCCAGAGGCAGCGAGUGGGACCCACCUCUCUCCAUGCUGAACCCCGCGUGGACAUGGAAGACUUUGCUUGCUGGGAUGUCUAGCAUAGUAUUGCUGAACUGCACAUGGCACAGCACAAGGGUCUCAGGAAGAAGUACUGUUGUGAUGGCCAAGGCCUGACUUGGGGUACAGGAUCCUAAUAAGCAGAAAACAGAGAAAUAACUGCCAUAAGAAUCUGUAAAAGAGGAAACUUACAUAAGCCAGUAGUUUGAUU